AUGAAAUCCUUUAGCACUCUGCGAACUCCAUCGCACCCCCUGAAACUCGGUCCCAGCACGUUUGGACGGAGAGAAGGUAUGAAGCAGGUGUGUGGAAGGGACAUGGUCUCUCUUCAUCGUAACCCUGAUUCCCACCAGGAGGAACCCAGGCGUUCGGGCACCGUCUCCCUCCACACAGGAGCAGACGACCCAGAAGAGGGCAGCUGGGCUUCAGCCUGGGCAGGAAAUGGGAACAUCUCCAUCCAGGCCCAAGGAACCAUUUGGGAGAAGCUCCAGACCAUGCAAGGAGAAAAGAGAAACACAAAUGCUCUCCCUGGUAAGCAAUUGACAGAACGCAGAGAUUCCACUUAAACAGCAAGCAAGAUGGAGAGGUGAAAGGAGUGGGCGUUGACCAGCCCAAGGGCACAGGUAAGGUCGUUGAAUUUCCACCUCUGGUGUCCUUUCCACUUAGAGAGAUGCACAUCUGGAGGCAGGGGGAUGACGGUGGCCUUUGGAGCUUUGGUUCUGUACCUUGAUGGUAUUUCCGUAUUUCCAGAUGAGGAAAAUGAAGGCGGGAAAGAUUCUGUGACUCUUUGGCAGAAGGACAGUGUCCAAACUCAUCAGAAUCCAGUGUCUCGACUCUUUCUAGUGUGUGCUCUUUCUAGAAAGUCUGCUGCCUCUUCCUUGGAGUUGUGUAUUCUGGGUACUGGGAAGAUAAAAUAAGACCGAAUCUAGGAUUCACGUGCACACGCUGGAUUGGAAUGGGAUGGCGGGGCCCCAGGGAAGGCUUCCAGCUCUGAGUCUAAGAUGCUGCAGGGGCGCCAUCUAGUUGGAGAGAUUCCUUCAGAAUCAUAAAGCCUCCGUUAAAGUUAAUAGGAGUUUCCGUCGUGGCUUAGCAGGUAAAGGAACCGACCUUGUCUCUCUGAGGAUGCAGAUUUGAUCCCUGGCCUCGCUCAGUGGGUUAAGGAUCAGCAUUGCUGCAAGCUGCAGCAUAGGUCACAGAUGCAGCUUGGAUCCAGUGUUGCCAUGGCUGUGGUGUAGACUGCAGCUGCAGCUCUGAUUCAACCCUUGGCCCAGAACUUCCAUAUGCCACAGAUGAGGCCGUAAAGGAAAAAAAAAAAAAGAAAGAAAAGAAAAGAAAAGACAAAAAGUUGAUAUAGCAUAGGGGUCAAGGCAGGAAGGACCUUAUCAGAGAAUGCUUCCUAGGAAGGGACCCAAAGCAAUAAAUACUCACUGUUAAUUCUGAGUUGAUCA
rnacentral:lncRNA from 1 species